rnacentral:rRNA from 1 species
AGCGAACGCUGGCGGCAGGCCUAACACAUGCAAGUCGAACGAACUCUUCGGAGUUAGUGGCGGACGGGUGAGUAACACGUGGGAACGUGCCUUUAGGUUCGGAAUAACUCAGGGAAACUUGUGCUAAUACCGAAUAUGCCCUUCGGGGGAAAGAUUUAUCGCCCUUAGAGCGGCCCGCGUCUGAUUAGCUAGUUGGUGAGGUAAAGGCUCACCAAGGCGACGAUCAGUAGCUGGUCUGAGAGGAUGAUCAGCCACAUUGGGACUGAGACACGGCCCAAACUCCUACGGGAGGCAGCAGUGGGGAAUCUUGCGCAAUGGGCGAAAGCCUGACGCAGCCAUGCCGCGUGAAUGAUGAAGGUCUUAGGAUUGUAAAAUUCUUUCACCGGGGACGAUAAUGACGGUACCCGGAGAAGAAGCCCCGGCUAACUUCGUGCCAGCCGCCGCGGUAA